rnacentral:rRNA from 1 species
UACGUAGGGUGCGAGCGUUGUCCGGAAUUAUUGGGCGUAAAGGGCUCGUGGGCGGUCUGUUGCGUCGGGAGUGAAAACUCAGGGCUUAACCCUGAGCCUGCUUCCGAUACGGGCAGACUAGAGGUAUGCAGGGGAGAACGGAAUUCCUGGUGUAGCGGUGAAAUGCGCAGAUAUCAGGAGGAACACCGGUGGCGAAGGCGGUUCUCUGGGCAUUACCUGACGCUGAGGAGCGAAAGUGUGGGGAGCGAACAGG